AACGGCAUUGAGUGCUUGCACUCUUUGGACGUCGACCGGCGCACGGGUGAGUAACGCGUAUCCAACCUUCCCAUUACUGUGGGAUAACCUGCCGAAAGGCAGACUAAUACCGCAUAGUCUUCGAUGACGGCAUCAGAUUUGAAGUAAAGAUUUAUCGGUAAUGGAUGGGGAUGCGUCUGAUUAGCUUGUUGGCGGGGUAACGGCCCACCAAGGCAACGAUCAGUAGGGGUUCUGAGAGGAAGGUCCCCCACAUUGGAACUGAGACACGGUCCAAACUCCUACGGGAGGCAGCAGUGAGGAAUAUUGGUCAAUGGACGGAAGUCUGAACCAGCCAAGUAGCGUGCAGGAUGACGGCCCUAUGGGUUGUAAACUGCUUUUGUAUGGGGAUAAAGUUAGGGACGUGUCCCUAUUUGCAGGUACCAUACGAAUAAGGACCGGCUAAUUCCGUGCCAGCAGCCGCGGUAAUACGGAAGGUCCAGGCGUUAUCCGGAUUUAUUGGGUUUAAAGGGAGCGUAGGCUGGAGAUUAAGUGUGUUGUGAAAUGUAGACGCUCAACGUCUGAAUUGCAGCGCAUACUGGUUUCCUUGAGUACGCACAACGUUGGCGGAAUUCGUCGUGUAGCGGUGAAAUGCUUAGAUAUGACGAAGAACUCCGAUUGCGAAGGCAGCUGACGGGAGCGCAACUGACGCUUAAGCUCGAAGGUGCGGGUAUCAAACAGGAUUAGAUACCCUGGUAGUCCGCACAGUAAACGAUGGAUGCCCGCUGUUGGUACCUGGUAUCAGCGGCUAAGCGA
rnacentral:rRNA from 1 species